rnacentral:lncRNA from 1 species
GGAGGGGGGCAGCUCAGCCUUCGCAGCCCGUGGGGGACCACCCAGCAGGGUCCUGGGCCCACAGCCAGGUCUUUACUGCUCCUGGGGCUGUGCCACGUGCUGGACGGGGGUCUGGGUCGCCUCCUCCCUGAAGACCAUCAGGCAGGCAAGGCCCCGGGUCUGACAGCAGAGGCCCUGGAUGUUCCCCAGGUAGGGAAGCCAAGUAACCACCAGUUGAAGGGUCAUCCCCAAAGCAGCAUCUACUCGAGUAGAAGGAACCCAGGAUUCGGUCAGGUCUAAUUUUGAAUCCAACUGCCCCAUUUCUGGCUGCAUGUCUUGGGCUCCUGUUUCCUCACCUGCCAGAUGCCUGUUACUCAGCACGCGCUCUGAAGCUGUUGGAUUUGAUGAGUCUCAAGUGGCAUCAGGCCCAAGUCGAGAGCUGCACAAAUUGGAGUGUCUCCUGCCCAUGUUGAGGAAGGGGGGCACCCCCAUGGGCCUGAGCUGGGCUAAGACAUGAGGCCAGCAUCCCCUGCACCAGGCCAGAUUCUGAUCCCAAAGCUCCCUGGGUCUGCAAGUUUCUAGGGGAGGCCAAGCAUCCCAGGGAGGGGCAGGGAACAAGUUCCGUGCAGGGCCAGCAUCGAGGCCUGAAUGCCCCGUUUCAGAUGGGAGGCCAGGCCUGCAGCUGGUGGAGGAGGCCACGUGGGUGCUACCCUGGACACGACCAGAGAUGAGCAAGGACCAGGAGGAAGAGAAUGGAGAGGU